CCUACGGGUGGCAGCAGUGAGGAAUAUUGGUCAAUGGGCGGAAGCCUGAACCAGCCAAGUCGCGUGAGGGAUUAAGGCUCUGCGGGUCGUAAACCUCUUUUGCCGGGGAGCAGAGGUCCGGACGUGUCCGGGCCGGGAGAGCUCCCGGAGAACAAGCAUCGGCUAACUCCGUGCCAGCAGCCGCGGUACUACGGAGGAUGCGAGCGUUAUCCGGAUUUAUUGGGUUUAAAGGGUGCGUAGGCGGGCAUUAAAGCUGGCGGUCAAAUGUCGGGGGUCAACCCCGGCCUGCCGUCGGAACUGGGAGCCUGGAGUGUGCGAGAGGUAGGCGGAAUGCGUGGUGUAGCGGUGAAAUGCGUAGAUAUCAAGCAGAACACCGAUUGCGAAGGCAGCAUACCGGCGCCCUACUGACGCUGAGGCACGAAAGUGUGGGUAGCGAACAGGAUUAGAUACCCCAGUAGUC
rnacentral:rRNA from 1 species